rnacentral:misc_RNA from 1 species
GAAAUGCGAUAAGUAAUGUGAAUUGCAGAAUUCAGUGAAUCAUCGAAUCUUUGAACGCACAUUGCGCCCGCCAGUAUUCUGGCGGGCAUGCCUGUUCGAGCGUCAUUUCAACCAUCAAGCCCCCGGCUUGUGUUGGGGACCUGCGGCUGCCCGCAGGCCCUGAAAAACAGUGGCGGGCUCGCUGUCACACCGAGCGUAGUAGCAUACAUUCUCGCUCAGGGCGUGCUGCGGGUUCCGGCCGUUAAACGACCUUCAUAACCCAAGGUUGACCUCGGAUCAGGUAGGAAGACCCGCUGAACUUAACC